rnacentral:rRNA from 1 species
GUGUCAGCAGCCGCGGUAAUACAGAGGUGCCAAGCGUUAGGCGGAAUCACUGGGCUUAAAGCGCGCGUAGGCGGACCGUUAAGUGUCUUGUGAAAUCCCACAGCUCAACUGUGGAACUGCUUGGCAGACUGGCGGUCUUGAGGUGCUCAGGGGCGAGUGGAACAAGUGGUGGAGCGGUGAAAUGCGUAGAUAUCACUUGGAACGCCAAAGGUGAAAACAGCUCGCUGGGGGCAUCCUGACGCUGAGGCGCGAAAGCCAGGGGAGCAAACGGGAUUAGAUACCCCCGUAGUCC